UGAAAACAUUGUUCAACUUUAUCACAAGGUAAAAUUCAUGUACAUUCUGCCCAGAGGGUGCCGGCAGGAGAGCGUGCGGUUUCCCCUAUCAGGGCUGUCUCGCUAUGGAGGAUCUUAUUUUGAUAACUGAGCGUUUUGAGCAUCGUCUCUGGCCCCGUGAGUUGGAGUUUCUCAAACUCCUUCUUGGAAUGAGGUGGGAUACAAGCAAACAGACGCACGAGUGGCCUUACAAACACCUCCGCGGCAGUCGGACGAGGGACACCCCCACCCCGACCCUACGGCCUCCCAUACACCUGGGUUCUUGGACAAUAUCUGCGUCCGUAAAGAUUCAUCCAGGGCGCUGCCCAGCCCCUAAAAUGAUGCUCUCUCGUUCUUUCUGCUUGGGGAUCUGCUCCUGACUGCCUUAAUCUCCAAGGCCAGCUGCCUCGAGAAAUAACAUCACAUUUCCCCACGGACCUCACUUCCCCUCCGUAUAAGUCACACUGGGGCAAGAGAAUGCACGGGAGACUCAGCAGACAGCAGCCAGAGGCCUGGGAUGCAGAACGAGAGCUGCAUCUCCUGCUCCAUCCUGUGCGGCAGGAGCCCUCAGGUCCGGGCGACCCCGACGGGCCUUGUGCGAGCCUCCUGGAGCCCCCUCCCCGUCCCCCGGAAGCCUGUUGUCUCCUUACAAAGCCUGUAAACCACUGGUAAUUGAAUCCAAUUAGAAGGAGACUGUCUAACUUUAAACAAAUGGCAAACCAAUGGAGCGUCCUCUGGUGAGCUACAAACUUUAUGCCUUGGCACUUCUGAGCGUUGUCGGGCCGAGCACAUGCCCAACUUAGAGCCAAAUACACUAAUGCCGAGAAUUAGUUUAAAAGCACAUGAGAGACUGGGAAAAAGAGACCGGUUUUUAGAUCUCAAUAAUUUAAAGGCCCAGUUUGCUCUAUUGGAAUAUAGACUGACUGGAUCACCUUCGCUCUUCAUAAUUAAAAUCUUCCGGGAGUUCUAAUUUAUGGGAUAUUAAUUCCUCUUUGCCAAACCUGAUAUUGUUUGUCCUUCCUUUGCCCCAGUUUUUGUUUUGUUUUGUUUUGUUUUUUUGUUUUGUUUUUUAAAUCUCUCCAUGGAGAUGGUAAAUAUUUUUAAUAAAAAGUUGAUAAUCCACUUUCCCCAUACUUUAAAAGGAACCCAAGUUAAACCUUAUGAUCAUAUUACUUGAUGUGUUCCAUUUGGGGAUUUUUACUUUCUUGCAGCCUGAACCACAGAAGUGAGGACAAUUUCUGAAAUAUAAGAAAAGAGCAUCACACACCCGUUUGAGCAAACACUGUGUGGCGGGCGGAGGCUGAUAGAUGACCCUACUGUCCACGGAGCUAAUCAGAUGCAUCCUUGGACCAGGGGCCAGUGUUCUGGGCAUGGGGAGAUAGAACCACUGCCCGGGCUUCUGUAUGAGCCCCGCUGUCCUGAAAACAGCAGUUUCUGUGUAAACCGUGUGUAUUUUAUGUCCUUCAAGGAGUAAAUGAUUGCAUCAGUGUGGUACAUCCAUACAAGGGAACUAUUACUCAGAAAUUAAAAAGGAACAAAAAUAGCUGCUUGGAUGAGUCUUCAAUGAAUUAUGCUGAGCGCAUAAAAGCCAAUCGUAAAGCUCUCAUGUGCUGUUCUUGAAAUGACGAACAAAUUCGCUGCUGCUUGUUUCCCGGCUCCACACACCACUUUCCAGUGACUUGCAGAGAGUUGGUUCUGCUCUCAGCACACGCGGUUCAGAGUCGGUGAGCAGUCAAGGCCGGCGCCCCACGUACUCCCGGGGGCCUUGGAGUGGGUGGGGGGCCUGAGCUCGGCAGAUGGAGCCUGCAGCACCCAUCUGAGGAGCAAGGAGAGUUCUGGAAAGUCUGGCAGAGGAUCGGCGGGCCAUCUUCCUCGGUCCUGGACAGAGCCUCGGGCCCCACCUCCAGUACCUACCGGGGCUGACUUCCCUCCACAGACGAGCCAAGUAUUAAAGGAGAUGGAGCCAGACCAAGUUGCUAGAGCAGCAGAGCAGGCCAUCUCGGAGCUACUAGGGGGACCCCUCAACCCCUCUUGGAACAUCUCUGCUUAGGGCCAAUUUUUGUCCUUUUUUAGAAAUGAAAGUAAAAAUAAACUGAAC